UUUUAAAUCCGAAUCGAGUACCUUCGCUCGAUUUUCUCGCUUUAGCGAAAUUUGUGUAGGUAAAUUCUAAGUUUGCCUGCCGAUGAAACAAAAAAAACUGGAGAGUGACGUGCUACGAUAACGCGAUAUAUCCUACCACCUGUGUUUUACCAUUCGGAUAAAUUAAAUACCUGUUUGUAAUACAGUAUCUGUCUGUCUAUUUAUGUCCUUCCGGUUUUUGUUGGCGGUGUCCGAUGCAUUAAUUAUCGAUAUACCUGUUUAAUUUUUAAAACCGGAGUACUACAUCGAUACCAACUUUAAUCCAAUGCUAAUUUAUGAUUGCUCACCUGUAAAUUAUUAAUUCCUUGGCACCGAACGAACGAUUCGCCAUCUUUAACGAUUUAAAACGUUUUUUUUUUAGUUAUCGCUAAAGGAAACGACCAUCGAGCUCGAAAGUUAACCUUUGAGAAAGGAAAUCUGUCGGUAAAACAUUCUUUCGUCCAGACCGUACGCGGAAAUAUCUCGGAAAAUAAACAUAUUUCCAGUGUUUGCUUACAAUAACAAACGCUAACGUAACGGCUGGCGGAGAUUUGUUAUACAAUAUUUUAAAGUAGAAGAGAGCGAUGACAAAUGGGACAUAGGGCUGGAAAGUGGAAUAUGGAUAAGUGACAUCUGUUUAUGGUUAUGCUACUAUAGUUGUAUCCGGUCUUUCAUAAUAGAUCUCGCAUACAUAUUCACCGGGUCGCUUAUAGCCCGGCCUUUCAUAGAAUGGUUCUUUUGUCCGAUGUGGUUCCGAAGCCCAAUUUUCCCGUAUCGACCUAUCCGCCACAUAGCCAUACAUUCCACCUUACUUCGUUAAACGGAGACUGAUAAUUAUAUUUCGUAUACGCUACAAAAAAAAAUUGUUUUUCGGCUUCCGGGUUUUCUGUUGUGAAAAAAUCGACGGUAAUUUUGGCGAUAAAGGGCGGUAGAAUGUUGUAGCUUGUGUAAUUCGUAACUGUGAUGCUAUUACUGUAUGACUCACAAUACUUGACCGACUGACUCACUUCCAUCAGUUCCUUUUAUUAUAGCUGGAAAAGAUUUAUUGUGGUAUCAGUAUGUUGUAUUCUUUUUAUAUCAUUUUACUUUAUCGAAUUCUUUAACGGUUUUUAAUGAAAGUUAAUAAUCGAUUACGGACUAUCGAUUUAAUUUGGUCUAAAUAUCAAACGCUAGUAAAUUUUUUUUUUAUUUCUCGAAGUGGCGCUUUGGCCGGUUGUGUGGUUAGUGGCUAACGUGACGUCAGAGUAGUUGAUACGUGCUCGGGUGGGAACGGUGCGCGCGAUGAAUCGAUGUUUUCGGCAUUUUUAGCAGUGGCCAUCGAUGAUUAAGAAUUCGUAGAACGGUAAUAAGGAUUAGUCCUUAAACUCGAACCGGGAUUUUUUUUUUAUACGUCUCGUAUUGUCGACUGCAGACUUUAUUUUGGAAAUUAUCUGAGUGGAUCGCGCGUUUCCGGUGGGAAAUUCCGAUUAUAUCGACGCUUUUACUAUCGCCUAAUUGCCCAGAAGUUUUUGGAAUAGUUUGUUAAUAGACGACGAAAAAGUAGUUUUUCUGGGCGGGAAAGAUUGAAAGACUAGAUCCCUAAAUGAAAAUCAGAGGGGGGAAAUGUAAAAUUCCGAUAAGGGAUUAUUCUUCUUCGUUUAUUAUUCCUUAUCUUCUCCAUUUGGAUGCAGAAGCAAAAAAAAUCCAAAUAUUGGAGUAUUUGUUCAUUCAAAGUAUUAUACUAUUACAGAGAAUUUUGCCAUCAAACCAAAGUCGUAACAAAUAUCUCAGUAAGAAAAAUUCUUCGAUAAUGAUUUAAAG
rnacentral:lncRNA from 1 species